rnacentral:rRNA from 1 species
UACGGAGGGGGCUAGCGUUGUUCGGAAUGACUGGGCGUAAAGCGCGCGUAGGCGGAUUGGCAAGUUGGGGGUGAAAUCCCGGGGCUCAACCUCGGAAUGGCCUUCAAGACUGCUGGUCUUGAGUUCGAGAGAGGUGAGUGGAAUUCCGAGUGUAGAGGUGAAAUUCGUAGAUAUUCGGAGGAACUCCAGUGGCGAAGGCGGCUCACUGGCUCGACACUGACGCUGAGGUGCGAAAGCGUGGGGAGCAAACAGG